UACGGAGGGGGCAAGCGUUAUUCGGAAUUAUUGGGCGUAAAGGGCGCGUAGGCGGCUAGAUGUGUCAAAGGUGAAAUCCCUCGGCUCAACUGAGGAACUGCCUUUGAAACUGUCUGGCUUGAGGCCGGGAGAGGGUAGCGGAAUUCCCAGUGUAGCGGUGAAAUGCGUAGAUAUUGGGAGGAACACCAGUGGCGAAGGCGGCUACCUGGACCGGUUCUGACACUGAUGCGCGACAGCGUGGGGAGCAAACAGG
rnacentral:rRNA from 1 species